UGAUGUUAGUUAAAAAUAUGAAGAUAGGAAACUGCAGAAGCAAGCGUAGCUCUGGAUUAUAGUUUUUAAGCUUGGAAUUGAAUUGAAGAUGCAAUCAAAUAUUUAUUGGAACAAAGAAUUUCAGGUGUUCUCUUCAUAGCUAUCACUUUUGAUGCGCUUGUCGUGAGAUUCACUGCGGGUACUUUCUUUCUCACAAUUGCUUCGCAUAGUCCUUUUGUCAAAAUUGCUUCCCUUGUUCUCCAUUUCAACCUGCUAAAAGCAAAUGAAUUAAAUGAACAUACAGAAAAUGGCACUUUUGAUGCUUAUUAUGGAAAAUGUAUCAGAUUAAUAUGGAAAAAAAUCUUACUUUGCCGGUUGAGCUCACAUUACCUGUGUAAUUGCCAAGUAGAAAGAUGAUGGAAAGACUGAGAUAGUUCUCUUUGGAGAAUUUUAAUGGUUAAUAUAAAUUGAAUGGCGAAGGCUUUAUUUGGUUAAUGACAAAGUAAUAGAUGGAAGCUAAAUGGGAGAGUGGAUUUUUAUUGGAGGUACGACAUAAAAUGCUAUUGGUAGUGACUUGUUUCGAAAAGUAAUAACUGAAAGCUCUUAAAAUAUUUCACUAGUAGUAUCAAUAUUAUAUAAUCAAGGCCCUUACUUUUCUAUUGAGAACCACUUCUCCAAAUAAUUCUGAAUAUAAUAUGUAAAUAGUAAGAAACAAAUCAGGUUAAAGAAUUGACUAUGGUAUGAGAUUGUCACCCUUAUGGUAAAUCUUUUAGAAUUUAGGUAUUUAAAUCAUGAUAUAUGUUAAGAAUAGUAACUGUAGUUAGCAUUAUGCUAACAUAGGCCAAGAAAAAUAUCAAAGAAAAUCUAGAAAAAAAGGAAAAUGAAUCUUGAGUAAUAAGUAUGUGUAGUUUUUGGUAUUUGUGUCGUUUGUCGCUUGUGUAGUAAUAUAUGUUUGCUGGUCUUCUUACUAAAAUGUUUUAUUUUCUAGAAUAAAUGAUUGCCUUUUUUAUAAUUGGAGAAGGAGGAGCACUUAUGGGAGAUUUGAACCCACGGUUUUGACAAUUUGUUGUCCAGCGCUUGUACUAUUGAGCUAAAGCCCGUUGGUAAUGAUGUUUGCCUUCUAUAAGGAUGUAAAUAAAUGGAGGAUUACUUUUUUACUUUUACUGAAGAAUUAAACAUUUAUAUUAAUCUAGCUAGUAUGAAAAAAAUUAUGUUUUUACUCUAGAAAGUAAUUAUAUUUCUUAAGAAGAAAAAAAUUUGGCACAUUCAUGUUGCAUGAGAGAGGAAAGCCAUCUAUACGGGUAGGUCUAAGGUGACAUGUAGCAGAUAAUUAGAUAGCACUAUUACCCUCGAUAAAUCUAAAAGUGUGGACUGGUUGCAAUGGAGGAAAUGGAUCUAUAACAUGAAUAUCAACAAGAUUGAGACUAAAGUUUAAGGAGUAAGUGGUCAUUUCUUGGUAGAUAUCAUUUCAUGAAUUUGUGAGAACAAUUAAAUAUUGGAUUAAUUCCUAAAAAAAUCACGAACUUUACACGAAGUUUCAUUUUAAUCAUGACCUUUAAAAGUUGUCAUUUAAAGGCACGAACUUUCAUUUUGUUUCAAAUCUAUCAUUUCAGUGUAUUUUUGUUGACUAAAUUCUUCAAUAAACCAUUAAUAAAAGACCCAAAUUAUAAAUCGACAUUAAAUCUUAUUAUCUUUUAGUUAGAGUAUAUAGGAUUAGGAAUUUUUGAUUCGAUAAAAUACACCGGAUUUUAUUUUGGCGAUAGAUUUGAAACAAAAUGAAAGUUCGUGCCUUUAAGUGACAACUUUUAAAGUUCAUGAUUAAAAUGAAACUUUGUGUAAAGUUCGUGAUUUUUUUAGGAAUUAACCCUUAAAUAUUUGACUAGUAAUCCAUGUCAUUUGCUUUUUGUUGAAUUCUUUGUGCUUUAUAAAACAUAUUAGGAAAAAUGAAUGGAUAUUUUGCCUACAAUAUGACACUUAUAACAUAGAUAAGUGAACCAAUCUUCAAUAGGUGAAGUGAUACGUAUUUGUUUCCGAUUAGCAAAGUACUCAUCAUUCACUACCUAUGGCAGUUUUAAUAGUGGCCUUUUACUUCAAAUGCCAUGUCAUUUAUGAUGAUAUAAUAUUAGUAACUUAACUUAUUUGUGGUUUUUAUUUAUAGAGAAAUGCUAGCAACCUUCUCCUCUUUGCCUUUAUCCGUUUGCCCUUUUCUCUAUUUUAUAAUUCAAUAAAUUUAAUUUUUUUUACGGAAGCGUAUUGAGUGAGUUUCAUUUUGAUAGAUUAUUUUAGAAGAAUAUACGAUAAUAAUUUAGCAAAAGAAGAUUAUACCAAUAGUGAAAUGAAGUUAAAAGAUUGUCAGUAUUAUCAUCCAACAAUUUUAUCGGGUUGCCUUGAUGUAACGUGUUAGGUGUCAACAAAACAGAGAAGGCAAUAGGAGAAGGUGAAAGAGAGAAAAUGGCUAGCAUUGAUCGUAUUUUAAUAUCUUAUGUAUACACUUAGAAGGGAGAUAAGUUAGUAAAAACUACAACAAAUUGAACUAAAUGAGCUAGAUGACUAUCAAGAUCAUUCAUUACCAAGGAAAUGAGUUCGUUUUUUAUUGAUAUGUUUCAAAGAGUUGUUUAAUUAGGUCUAUUCUUAAUGUUUGAUCAGUAGAAGUUGUUUUAUUUGGUUAGAUUUAUGUUGUCGAGUUGAAGCACAGUCUAUGGUAAAUUUCGCCUGUUAAUAGGCUGAUAUUUGUUGUCCUGUUUCUUUUUUGAAUUUUUUGCAUGAGCUAUGGUAACUUUGCUCUCUUGACGAUGAAGAAUAUUGUAGCUGCUCAAGAAUGCAAUUUGAAUAGAGAGGUAAACUCUUUAGUGUGAGGAUCACUGUUUGGUUUUCUUCCUGAAGGAGACCAGAAUAAUACCUUUUUAAAUUUGUUAUUUUCUCUUUGUAAAUAACUAGGAUAUUUGGUUAAUUUACAUGUAUUUAAUCCUUAAAAUAUGCACUAAUAAUCAUGAAAAAAUAUUUGAAAAACCUACAAGCAUGAGAUCCAAAAUACAUUGCCUAAAGAAAGGAAAUAUAUCAUGAAAGAGAUGGAGGACACAAACUUUUCUUGCAAAAUAGUCAUCGAUGUGAAAGAUACAUUGUAAAACUUGGAUGAGAAACAAAUUAUCUUGUUAAAUACUUGAUUUUGAUGAUAUAUGUAGCUCUAAUGGUGAUUUGGUGAAUGAUUGAUAUGUUAUUUAGUGAGCUUUGCUGUUUUGAAUUUAUCAGCAACGACAUUUGAGAAUCUAAUUGUUUUUGGUGUUAUUCGGGGUUACCGAUAUGCCCUCAUCUUUUUCAGGUUAGUUUUUCGGUUAACCUAAUUUUAUAUGAAUUCUUGCAAGUGGAUAAUGUAGAUACUUGGUGUGAUAUAUAGGCCCAAUUGCCUUCCACAGUGAUUCGAAACAAUAGAGCAACUAUAUAAGCAUUGUUUCACAAUCCAUCAUAUAUUAGGUUUGUGGUAAAAAGGUGAAAAUUUCUGGUAUUACAGAGUUACAAAUUGCUAUUCUUUAUUCAAAUUGAUUAAAUUUUUAGCAUGAACUCUUUUGCAUAUAGAAUAAGCAAUCUUUUGCUAAUAAAAGAAACUCGACCUUCCUAAAAGAAUUUUAUAGCUAACAGUCUCUACAUAUAUGGCUUUAUAAUUUGGUUUAUUCAAAUUUGAUUUCUACGUAUUUUUUAAUGAUUCAUUUGUAAAUUAAAGAAAUUUAAUCUGUGUUUCAUAGUAUUUUUAUAGUUGACAAUUGUUCUUUAUGACUUUAUGAAUGUGGUUCAUUAAGUUUGAUCUAAGUCAUCUUUUUGAUGGAACACUUAAUCUGUACUGAAACACUUCGAUGAGGAGUUGUAGCAUGCUUCUCAAUAUGACAGCGCUAGGCUUCAUCUUUUUUUUUUGUGGGAUUCCUCAGAUGAAAUUAAAAAUUUACCCGGACCUAAUACAAGCACUAAAUCGAUCAAUUUGGGUUCUGCAAGAACAGCUUGUCCGUGUAGCAUUCAAGAGUUUAAUGUUGGCCGUCAAAUUCGGCCAAUUUUAGCUAGCCAUCAGGGUGCAUUUGUUGGUAAAAUAAUCUGACUGUUCAUCGCUUAUUUGUCUUUAUUGGUUUUCAGCUUAAUCUGUGUCGUGUGAGGUUCCACGAGAUUGAACAUUUCAGUUUUUUGAGAAAUCAGUGUUGUUUUCUGAUUUUGCUAAAUAAUUGGUUUGAGAAAUCUGUGUUAUAUGGGAAUGUUGUUGUAGUAUGUUACAUAUGCUGUUUCAUAUUCUUGAAUUGUACUGCUUGGAAUUAAUAAUACUACAUUUGCAAGCUUA